CCAGAGAUGGCGGGCCCCCGCGCCCCCGUCCCCAACCCUUUGUUGACCAAACCACUUUUGCCUCGGGGGCAGAGCGGCCUCCGCCGCCCCCGGUGGACCAUUUAACACUGUCUCUAUACGUCGGAGUCUUUGAUAAAUACAUUA
rnacentral:misc_RNA from 1 species